UACGUAGGGUCCAAGCGUUAUCCGGAUUUAUUGGGCGUAAAGCACAUGUAGGUGGAUUGAUACGUCUCGUUUUUAAAAGCUCUGGGCUUAACCCAGAAUCUGGAUGAGAUACGGUCUUUCUAGUGGUCAGCAGGGGCAAAUGGAAUUCCCCGGUGUAGGAGUGAAAUCCGUUGAUAUCGGGAGGAACACCAAUGGCGAAGGCAAUUUUGCUAGGCUGAUUUCAGACACUUGAGAUGUGAAAA
rnacentral:rRNA from 1 species